UACAGAGGUGGCAAGCGUUGUUCGGAAUUACUGGGCGUAAAGGGCGAGUAGGCGGCCUUCUAAGUCAGACGUGAAAUCCCCCGGCUUAACCUGGGAACUGCGUCUGAUACUGGGAGGCUAGAGUAUGGGAGAGGAAUGUGGAAUUCCAGGUGUAGCGGUGAAAUGCGUAGAUAUCUGGAGGAACACCGGUGGCGAAGGCGGCAUUCUGGACCAUAACUGACGCUGAUCCGCGAAAGCUAGGGGAGCAAACGGG
rnacentral:rRNA from 1 species